rnacentral:sRNA from 1 species
CUGUCACAAUAUCAAUUUGCAAUAGAGACUAUUGGGAAGAAGUUACCUGCAACUACAGCAACUCCAGACUCAUCAAAAACAGAAAUGGACAGCAGGACAAAGAGCAAGGAUUACUGCAAAGUAAUAUUUCCAUAUGAGGCACAGAAUGAUGAUGAAUUGACAAUCAAAGAAGGAGAUAUAGUCACUCUCAUCAAUAAGGACUGCAUCGAUGUAGGCUGGUGGGAAGGAGAGCUGAACGGCAGACGAGGCGUAUUUCCCGAUAACUUCGUGAAGUUACUUCCACCGGACUUUGAAAAGGAAGGGAAUCCUCACCCACAGACACCGCCAGAGAACUUAGUGGGAUGUGUGGAGGAGGUCUCCCAAAGUCCAGAAUUGCUGAAAAUCAAGCUGAGACUUACUUCCAGAACCUCACCAUAUUCCUCUAACGAAGCCCCUCUAAAGGUUACCCAGCCAUCAGGAGACCCAAGAAGCCACCGCCUCCAUCCGCUCCUGUCAUUAAACAAGGGGCAGGCACCACUGAGAGAAAACAUGAAAUUAAAAAGAUACCUCCUGAAAGACCAGAAAUGCUUCCAAACAGAACAGAAGAAAAA